GCCAACAGGACCUGAAGUUCUGUCUGGUCAGAUACCAGGAUUAGAGAUGAGGAAACAGCUCCACAAAAGCAAAGUAACUGCGACUGGAGGAUGCUCCAGGCCUAUUUGCCAAAGGCAAUUUACUGAAUAAUCAAGUCAACACUGUCAAAGAAAUACAGUAAGCUGGGUCCAGGACAGUCCUCUGCAAAGACAAAGGCAAGGGCAGAGGUGGAGGGGAUCUUCCCUGACCCAGGGAUUGAAACCGUGUCUCCUGAACGUCCCCUGCACGUCCCCUGCAAGGCAGAUGAAAUCUUUACCCCUGACUCACUGCGGAAGCCCGACUUAAGAUGUGACCUGGCUAAUAUCUCCAUCCUUGAGGUCGUAUGAAGGAG
ensembl:lncRNA